AACGAACGCUGGCGGCAGGCCUAACACAUGCAAGUCGAACGCCGUAGCAAUACGGAGUGGCAGACGGGUGAGUAACGCGUGGGAACCUUCCCUAUGGUUCGGAAUAGCUCAGGGAAACCUGGGGUAAUACCGGAUAAGCCCUUCGGGGGAAAGAUUUAUCGCCAUUGGAUGGGCCCGCGUCGGAUUAGCUAGUUGGUGAGGUAACGGCUCACCAAGGCGACGAUCCGUAGCUGGUCUGAGAGGAUGAUCAGCCACACUGGGACUGAGACACGGCCCAGACUCCUACGGGAGGCAGCAGUGGGGAAUAUUGGACAAUGGGCGAAAGCCUGAUCCAGCCAUGCCGCGUGAGUGACGAAGGCCUUAGGGUUGUAAAGCACUUUCAACGGUGAAGAUAAUGACGGUAACCGUAGAAGAAGCCCCGGCUAACUUCGUGCCAGCAGCCGCCGAAGAC
rnacentral:rRNA from 1 species